rnacentral:rRNA from 1 species
UGUGACCUCAAAUCAGGUAGGACUACCCGCUGAACUUAAGCAUAUCAAUAAGCGGAGGAAAAGAAACUAACAAGGAUUCCCCUAGUAACUGCGAGUGAAGCGGGAAAAGCUCAAAUUUAAAAUCUGGCGGUCUUUUGGCUGUCCGAGUUGUAAUCUAGAGAAGUGUUAUCCGCGCUGGACCGUGUACAAGUCUCCUGGAAUGGAGCAUCAUA